rnacentral:lncRNA from 1 species
GCAAACCCAAAUCGCAAAAUCCCUAAUUCCCCAAAUCGCAAAUCCGAAACCCAAAGGUAUAAGCAGCGACGCUGCCACCGUCACCGUCGGCUAGCACCCACUGUCAGUCCGUCACCGUCGCCCCUCGGCACUCGGCAGUCGGCAUCAUCUCUUCUCGUUUGCAUUUGCUGACUCAGUUUUGCUCAGUUGCGGCUGUGACGGGAGUCGUUGGUGCAGCGGCAGCAGCGCAGUGCAGCCCCCUCCGGCGCCAUCGUUUGCAAUUUUGUGAGUUGUUUACAGCUUAAUUAUUGAAUGUAUAUGAGUUGUGUAUGUAUUUUUCUUUCAUUUGAAUAGUUGGUACGCGGCAUCACUUGCAAGUUUGUCGAUGCCAUUGUUUUCAUAUAUACUUUACCCUUAUCUACUAUAGCCGAUAGUCUAUCUCAUUCUCAUAGAAUAUGUAUGCAUCUUGUGGGUUCCAAUUCUUGCAUUAAAGGAACAAAUUGUUGCCAUUACUGGUGUAAUAUUGCUGACAUUACUGGUGUAAUAUUGCUGCCAUUACUGGUGUAAUAUUGCAGCAACAGCCGAUAGUCUAUCUCCACAGGAUGUUUCCUUUUUUAAUGUUAGUCUCAUUCUUUACUUUAGGGUAAGCACAUUUGUAUUCUUGCUUUUUAGGUCUCUUGAGGAUUGUUCACAUUACUGUUAUCAAAUAUUGACCAAGUAGCAGAAUUUGCAGCAACUUACCCUGCUUCAAGUUAUGGGCUCAUUGAAACAGGGCUCAUUGAAAGACAAGUUAUAAUGUUAUAUUACAACUGGUUAUUUGUAUGAUUUUGCUUCUGUUGGCUGUGUGAAUCUCUCUGCCCAGCUUGAUUUGAUUUUGUUAUAAGUUUGUAUUUAACUAUUUUCUAAUUUAAAUUAGAAUAGUCCUACCAAUUAAGAAUAAUCACAAACCCGUAUUAUACCCUUGAAGAUGUUCUGAAUAAUAUAUGCUCCAGAUUUUCUAUGUAAUAAUAUUAAUAUGUGCCUAUCAAUAAUUAAUUAGAUCAAUUUGCGGUACUCUAGUAGUUAAUCGAAUUUCACGGUUUUGGUGUUACAAUCAAUUUGCGGUACUCUAAUUAAUUGAAUUUCAUGGUUUUGGUGUUACAG